rnacentral:rRNA from 1 species
UGGGGAAUUUUGGACAAUGGGCGAAAGCCUGAUCCAGCAAUGCCGCGUGUGUGAAGAAGGCCUUCGGGUUGUAAAGCACUUUUGUCCGGAAAGAAAUCCUUGGCUCUAAUACAGUCGGGGGAUGACGGUACCGGAAGAAUAAGCACCGGCUAACUACGUGCCAGCAGCCGCGGUAAUACGUAGGGUGCAAGCGUUAAUCGGAAUUACUGGGCGUAAAGCGUGCGCAGGCGGUUUGCUAAGACCGAUGUGAAAUCCCCGGGCUCAACCUGGGAACUGCAUUGGUGACUGGCAGGCUAGAGUAUGGCAGAGGGGGGUAGAAUUCCACGUGUAGCAGUGAAAUGCGUAGAGAUGUGGAGGAAUACCGAUGGCGAAGGCAGCCCCCUGGGCCAAUACUGACGCUCAUGCACGAAAGCGUGGGGGAGCAAACAGGAUUAGAUACCCUGGUAGUCCACGCCCUAAACGAUGUCAACUAGUUGUUGGGGAUUCAUUUCCUUAGUAACGUAGCUAACGCGUGAAGUUGACCGCCUGGGGGAGUACGGUCGCAAGAUUAAAACUCAAAUGAAUUGAC